rnacentral:rRNA from 1 species
UACGUAGGUGGCAAGCGUUGUCCGGAUUUACUGGGCGUAAAGCGUGUGUAGGCGGACCUUUAAGUAGAAAGUGAAAGGUAGGAGCUCAACUCCUACAUUGCUCUCUAUACUGGAGGUCUUGAGUGUCGGAGAGGAAGAUGGAACUGCACGUGUAGCGGUGAAAUGCGUUGAGAUGUGCAGGAACACCAAUGGCGAAGGCAACCUUCUGGACGAAAACUGACGCUGAGACACGAAAGCCAAGGUAGCAAACAGG